rnacentral:rRNA from 1 species
GACGAACGCUGGCGGCGUGCUUAACACAUGCAAGUCGAACGAUGAACCUGGAGCUUGCUCCGGCGGAUUAGUGGCGAACGGGUGAGUAACACGUGAGUAACCUGCCCUUGACUCUGGGAUAACUGCGGGAAACUGUAGCUAAUACCGGAUACGACCCUCGGCGGCAUCGCCAGGGGGUGGAAAGAAUUCCGGUCAAGGAUGGACUCGCGGCCUAUCAGCUAGUUGGUGAGGUAACGGCUCACCAAGGCGACGACGGGUAGCCGGCCUGAGAGGGUGACCGGCCACACUGGGACUGAGACACGGCCCAGACUCCUACGGGAGGCAGCAGUGGGGAAUAUUGCACAAUGGGCGCAAGCCUGGUGCAGCAACGCCGCGUGAGGGAUGACGGCCUUCGGGUUGUAAACCUCUUUUAGUAGGGAAGAAGCGAAAGUGACGGUACCUGCAGAAAAAGCACCGGCUAACUACGUGCCAGCAGCCGCAGUAA